rfam:Arthrospira platensis NIES-39 DNA, nearly complete genome.
AGGAGCCGUAUGAGAUGAAAGUCUCAAGUACGGUUUUGAAGUGGAGUUGGGGAAGGUGACUUCCCUUUCGACCAUAAC